CAGUCAAUGGCCAAUGAUUUAACCAAUCAUACCUAUGUAAUGAGGCCUCCAUAAAAGCCCAAAGGAUGAAAUUUGGAGAGCUUCCAGACAUGAGGGCAGAGCUGCGGCACCCAGUUGGAGCCAGUUGGGCCCAACACAACUUGGUGAGAGGUUUCGGAAGGAGCUCAUCUGAAGUAUAAGCACCGAGUGAGCGUUGUGUGUCGUGUACCUGUGGUCAGAGUGCAAAGUGAGAAGGAAGAGAGAAGACAGAUGCCACAUGCUUCUUUGAGCUCUUGCUCCUUCCCACCCUGGCACACAAAGACGAACACCAGCGUGGAGAUGCACCACUGUGCACAGAGCUCUUACCUGCUUUGCUGGUCUUGAAUAUGGAGGAAAAAUUACAGCCCACAAAAUGAAGUUACCAAGCUACCAACAUAUACCUGUGAAACAAAGAUCAGAUCUCAGUAAUAAGGAGGGGAACUUGGGACCAAGUCUUAAAUUGAGGAACGGCUUUUGUGGCCCUUGGGGCUGCCUCUGUAGAGGCAGUUAAUCAUCUGCCUGAACAAUCCAAUCAAUAUCCAUGACCUUUCCUUCAGCUGUCUUUCUCCUGCCAUUUCUCCUCUCCUCCUACAGUCAAAAGGAAGAUAAUGGGAUCAUUUCCUUUAGAAAAUAAACAUGAAUAUGAACCCAGUUCAUAAACUAUUUGUUAUUAAAAUGGAAUCCCCUAGGGAAAUUAUGUUUAGAUAUCAAAAUUAUAAGGCUGAUAUUUGGCAUUAUUUAUGGUUUAUAGCAUCUUCACAUGUGUCUGUCGAUCUGAUCUAUUAUAGUUUCUAUUACAUUGUCUCAUAGAGAAUGCAGAAUAA